CCUACGGGUGGCAGCAGUGAGGAAUAUUGGUCAAUGGCCGGAAGGCUGAACCAGCCAAGCCGCGUGAAGGACGAAGGUGCCAAGCAUUGUAAACUUCUUUUGUCAAGGGACAAAAUCAGGCUCGAGAGCCUGACCGAGGGUACUUGAAGAAAAAGCAUCGGCUAACUCCGUGCCAGCAGCCGCGGUAAUACGGAGGGUGCAAGCGUUGUCCGGAAUCAUUGGGCGUAAAGAGUUCGUAGGCGGCAUGUAAAGUCAGGUGUUAAAGGCGCAGGCUCAACCUGUGUAUGGCACUUGAUACUUGCAAGCUGGAAUGCGGUAGAGGUAAAGGGAAUUCCUGGUGUAGCGGUGAAAUGCUUAGAUAUCAGGAGGAACAUCGGUGGCGUAAGCGCUUUACUGGGCCGUAAUUGACGCUGAGGAACGAAAGCCAGGGUAGCAAAUGGGAUUAGAUACCCGAGUAGUC
rnacentral:rRNA from 1 species